rnacentral:rRNA from 1 species
UCUGGAACCCAAUUCUGGCGGCGUGCUUAACACAUGCAAGUCGAACGAACCUUCGGGUUAGUGGCGGACGGGUGAGUAACGCGUGGGAAUCUGCCCUCAGGAGGGGGAUAACGGCUGGAAACGGCCGCUAAUACCCCAUAUGCCGAGAGGUGAAAUGAAUUUCGCCUGAGGAUGAGCCCGCGUCUGAUUAGCUAGUUGGUGAGGUAAGAGCUCACCAAGGCAUCGAUCAGUAGCUGGUCUGAGAGGAUGAUCAGCCACACUGGGACUGAGACACGGCCCAGACUCCUACGGGAGGCAGCAGUGGGGAAUUUUCCGCAAUGGGCGAAAGCCUGACGGAGCAACGCCGCGUGAGGGAUGAAGGCCUCUGGGCUGUAAACCUCUUUUCUCAAGGAAGAAGGAUCUGACGGUACUUGAGGAAUAAGCCACGGCUAAUUCCGUGCCAGCAGCCGCGGUAAUACGGGAGUGGCAAGCGUUAUCCGGAAUUAUUGGGCGUAAAGCGUCCGCAGGCGGCCCUUCAAGUCUGCUGUUAAAAAGUGGAGCUUAACUCCAUCAUGGCAGUGGAAACUGUUGGGCUUGAGUGUGGUAGGGGCAGAGGGAAUUCCCGGUGUAGCGGUGAAAUGCGUAGAUAUCGGGAAGAACACCAGUGGCGAAGGCGCUCUGCUGGGCCAUAACUGACGCUCAUGGACGAAAGCCAGGGGAGCGAAAGGGAUUAGAUACCCCUGUAGUCCUGGCCGUAAACGAUGAACACUAGGUGUCGGGGGAAUCGACCCCCUCGGUGUCGUAGCCAACGCGUUAAGUGUUCCGCCUGGGGAGUACGCACGCAAGUGUGAAACUCAAAGGAAUUGACGGGGGCCCGCACAAGCGGUGGAGUAUGUGGUUUAAUUCGAUGCAACGCGAAGAACCUUACCAGGGUUUGACAUCCUGCGAACCUCUUGGAAACGAGAGGGUGCCUUCGGGAACGCAGUGACAGGUGGUGCAUGGCUGUCGUCAGCUCGUGUCGUGAGAUGUUGGGUUAAGUCCCGCAACGAGCGCAACCCACGUCUUUAGUUGCCAGCAUUUAGUUGGGCACUCUAGAGAGACCGCCGGUGAUAAACCGGAGGAAGGUGUGGAUGACGUCAAGUCAUCAUGCCCCUUACAUCCUGGGCUACACACGUACUACAAUGCUACGGACAAAGAGCAGCAAGUUCGCGAGGACAAGCAAAUCUCAUAAACCGUGGCUCAGUUCAGAUCGUAGGCUGCAACUCGCCUACGUGAAGGAGGAAUCGCUAGUAAUCGCAGGUCAGCAUACUGCGGU